rnacentral:tRNA from 1 species
GAGUGAUUAGCUCAGUUGGCUAGAGCAUCUGGUUUACACCCAGGAGGUCACAGGUUCGAAUCCUGUAUCACUCACCA